rnacentral:rRNA from 1 species
UGACGGUACCUGACUAAGAAGCCCCGGCUAACUACGUGCCAGCAGCCGCGGUAAUACGUAGGGGGCAAGCGUUAUCCGGAUUUACUGGGUGUAAAGGGAGCGUAGACGGUUUUGCAAGUCUGAAGUGAAAGCCCGGGGCUUAACCCCGGGACUGCUUUGGAAACUGUAGGACUAGAGUGCAGGAGAGGUAAGUGGAAUUCCUAGUGUAGCGGUGAAAUGCGUAGAUAUUAGGAGGAACACCAGUGGCGAAGGCGGCUUACUGGACUGUAACUGACGUUGAGGCUCGAAAGCGUGGGGAGCAAACAGGAUUAGAUACCCUGGUAGUCCACGCCGUAAACGAUGAUUACUAGGUGUUGGUGGGUAUGACCCUUCGGUGCCGCAGCAAACGCAAUAAGUAAUCCACCUGGGGAGUACGUUCGCAAGAAUGAAACUCAAAGGAAUUGACGGA